UACGGAGGGGGCUAGCGUUGUUCGGAAUUACUGGGCGUAAAGCGCACGUAGGCGGCUUUGUAAGUUAGAGGUGAAAGCCCGGGGCUCAACUCCGGAAUUGCCUUUAAGACUGCAUCGCUAGAAUUGUGGAGAGGUAAGUGGAAUUCCGAGUGUAGAGGUGAAAUUCGUAGAUAUUCGGAAGAACACCAGUGGCGAAGGCGACUUACUGGACACAUAUUGACGCUGAGGAGCGAAAAGCGUGGGGGAGCGAACAGG
rnacentral:rRNA from 1 species